GGUGAUGAUGGCAGAGAGGUCACACCCGUUCCCAUACCGAACACGGAAGUUAAGCUCUCUAGCGCCGAUGGUAGUUGGGACCUUGUCCCUGUGAGAGUAGGACAUCGCCAAGC
rnacentral:rRNA from 2 species